GAUGAACGCUAGCUACAGGCUUAACACAUGCAAGUCGAGGGGCAGCGCAGUGUAGCAAUACACGGGCGGCGACCGGCGCACGGGUGCGUAACGCGUAUCCAACCUUCCCGAUACUCAGGGAUAGCCUUCCGAAAGGGAGAUUAAUACCUGAUGGUGUUCAAAUUCCGCAUGUUAUUUGAACUAAAGAUUUAUCGGUAUCGGAUGGGGAUGCGUGACAUUAGAUAGUAGGCGGGGUAACGGCCCACCUAGUCUACGAUGUCUAGGGGUUCUGAGAGGAAGGUCCCCCACACUGGAACUGAGACACGGUCCAGACUCCUACGGGAGGCAGCAGUGAGGAAUAUUGGUCAAUGGUCGGAAGACUGAACCAGCCAAGUAGCGUGAAGGAUGAAGGUUCUAUGGAUUGUAAACUUCUUUUAUACGGGAAUAAAACCUCCCACGUGUGGGAGCUUGUAUGUACCGUAUGAAUAAGCAUCGGCUAACUCCGUGCCAGCAGCCGCGGUAACAC
rnacentral:rRNA from 1 species